GAGGAAUAUUGGUCAAUGGGCGGAAGCCUGAUGCAGCAACGCCGCGUGAGUGAUGACGGUCUUCGGAUUGUAAAGCUCUGUCUUUUGGGACGAUAAUGACGGUACCAAAGGAGGAAGCCACGGCUAACUACGUGCCAGCAGCCGCGGUAAUACGUAGGUGGCAAGCGUUGUCCGGAUUUACUGGGCGUAAAGGAUGUGUAGGCGGAUACUUAAGUGAGAUGUGAAAGCCCCGGGCUCAACCUGGGGACUGCAUUUCAAACUGAGUAUCUAGAGUGCAGGAGAGGAAAGCGGAAUUCCUAGUGUAGCGGUGAAAUGCGUAGAGAUUAGGAAGAACAUCAGUGGCGAAGGCGGCUUUCUGGACUGUAACUGACGCUGAGGCAUGAAAGCGUGGGGAGCAAAC
rnacentral:rRNA from 1 species